UACGAAGGGUGCAAGCGUUACUCGGAAUUACUGGGCGUAAAGCGUGCGUAGGUGGUGAGUUAAGUCUGUCGUGAAAGCCCCCGGGCUCAACCUGGGAAUGGCGAUGGAUACUGGCUCGCUAGAGUGCGGUAGAGGAGAGUGGAAUUCCCGGUGUAGUGGUGAAAUGCGUAGAUAUCGGGAGGAACACCAGUGGCGAAGGCGGCUUUCUGGUCUGCUCUUGACGCUGAGGCGCGAAAGCUAGGGGUAGCAAAACGGG
rnacentral:rRNA from 1 species